rnacentral:rRNA from 1 species
UAACGAAUCUUCCGCAAUGCGCGAAAGCGUGACGGAGCAAUGCCGCGUGCAGGAUGAAGCCCCUCGGGGUGUAAACUGCUGUCAGGGAAUAGGAACACAAUGACCAAACCCAAAGGAAGGGCCGGCUAACUUCGUGCCAGCAGCCGCGGUAAUACGAAGGGCCCAAGCGUUAUUCAGAGUCACUGGGCUUAAAGCGUACGCAGGCUGACACGCAGGCAUCUUGUGAAAUCCCUCCGCUCAACGGAGGAACUGCUCGGUGAACCGUGUGUCUUGAGAUUGGUAGGGGCUGUCGGAACGAUCGGUGGAGUGGUGAAAUGCGUUGAUAUCGAUCGGAACGCCGAAGGAGAAAUCAGGCAGCUGGGCCAUAUCUGACGCUCAUGUACGAAAGCGUGGGGAGCGAACGGGAUUAGAUACCCCCGUAGUCC